rnacentral:rRNA from 1 species
AUUGAACGCUGGCGGCAUGCUUUACACAUGCAAGUCGAACGGCAGCACGGGGGCAACCCUGGUGGCGAGUGGCGAACGGGUGAGUAAUAUAUCGGAACAUGUCCGGAAGUGGGGGAUAACGUAGCGAAAGUUACGCUAAUACCGCAUAUGCCCUGAGGGGGAAAGGAGGGGAUCGCAAGACCUUUCGCUUUCGGAGUGGCCGAUAUCGGAUUAGCUAGUAGGUGAGGUAAAGGCUCACCUAGGCGACGAUCCGUAGCUGGUCUGAGAGGACGACCAGCCACACUGGGACUGAGACACGGCCCAGACUCCUACGGGAGGCAG